CGCUUCGUCAGACUCCAGCGGCGAAUGGCGGGGCAGGAAUGAGAGUCGCUGAAGCUCGGUGAGCAGCUCGCAUCAGCAGAGGACCCGUAGACAUACAGAAACCAUAUAUAAUUUAAUCUGUGCUCAUUUGGCCCAUCCAAAAUGCCUGCCCUGGGAUCGCUCCCAGCCGAAGCCUCCUCUGGUCCGCUCCCCGCGGCUCCUUCCGUGCUUCGCUCCGAAGCCUCUACCGGUCCGCUCUCCGCGGCUCCUUCCGGGCUUCUACUUCCCCCCAGGGGUGGCACCAGUAUAUAUACGGAUACAGUGUCCAAUCAUAUUAAAGUAAGCAAGGCAAGCUGAUUGGCUAACAUAUUAUUGAGCGGGUUGUUUACGCGGUAAGCAGGAAACUAACGUGCUCGAUGGGAGGGGUAAUCUAACUCAGGCUUUGCUCUUUACCACAGGCCGCAUGAUCGCUAUAUGCGGCGGCUCGGCAAUGUGGUGGCUCCCAACAUCUCCCCCUUUUUUAUUUUAAAUAAGUCUACGCAUCGCAGCCCGUCCUGAAUUGAGUGUAGAGGCCUGUGCCCUGAUAGGAGGCCCACCAAGGGCUCUCGGCGUCGGCCCGGGUCGGCCGUCCCCGAGUCUGCCGAGGCCCCGAGGCCCUCGUCCUUUUUCCAGGGCCAGGAAGGAACCGGACGGAACCUGGAUGCACACAGGCAUACACUCAUGUCGCUCCGCAUGAUCCCCCCGGGGCGACAUUU